rnacentral:lncRNA from 7 species
UUCUCUCUCUCUCCAGCCCUGCAAGCAGAGGAGAAUCUGUAGCAAUAUUGGGAAGGAAAGUGGAGACAAGUUACCUUUACUAUUCCAUGGGAAAAUAAGCUGUUGGAUUAUUGUCUGGAAACUGUGAAUUGCCAAGAUGAGCAACGAGAGGCUGGAGAACCCUGGACCCUCCCCACUGACUGAAGGCCUGAAGAGAAAGAGGGGGAGACCAAAGAAGCAGCCGCAGGAGGAGGCUGUGGGACCACUGCCGGAGAAAAAGCCACGAGGAAGGCCAAAAGGAAGCAAGAAAGUGAGCAGUGUAACUGGACAAAUGGUAGAACCUCCUGCUGGGAAGAGGCCCCGAGGAAGGCCCCGCAAGUGGCCUCAGCUGGUGACACAAGGAGCAUCUCAGGAAAGCAGUCCUCAGGGAAGCGGUGACAUGGACGUGAACACGGCGCCUGCCACACAAGGCAUCACUGGAAAAGACAGUUUCAAGCCCAGCAAAGCUACUGCUGUGCGGAGGUCUCUGAGCAGCAUCGCCGCCGCAGCUCAGUAGUGUGCCGCCUGCUCACGUCCUGCUGGAGCCAGAGGACAGGAAAGCAAGCAGCAUUCUUACUGCUGUGUUUCAGAUUGUUCUUUCUGAUGAUUUCGGCUGUGCUUUCCCUCCUGCUGUCUGCUGCUUUACCCCAAACGUCCAAGCAGAGACUGGAGGGACAAAACAGCAAAUGCCUUCUCAGGGAGAUGCUUUUCUUUGUAGUAGAUUUUUUGAGGAUAUUGAUCUUUUUUACAGUACUUCAGGAAAACACGGGGCCUCGUGCUGCCACAGGUAGUGAUAGUUCGAUAGGGUGAUAGUGUUGUCUCAGUUAUACAGAUACAGGAGAGGAAACCAAUCUGCAUAGCUAACCAUUGGACUUGCAUCCUUCCACCUCUGGUACAUGACGGUGUGAUCCCAGGAAUUUGAUUUUGUUGAUUUGCUCAUGGGGAAUGCAUCUGAAAGACAGAAUUCUUCCCUCACUGUACCACAAAGGAGAAAAAAAAAACAAACCCAAAACCAACUCGAUGGCAUUUGCAGCUUACCUACAGUCGUUGCUCCAGUGGUCAGCAGCUUGGAUGCUUUAGAGCAAAGCUCCCAGCCCAGCACCUCGGGGAUUGACUGAAAUAUUUCUCCUGGUGUUAUCAGCUCAGGGCCAUCUUCCAUACCUCGCUGUUGCCUCGUGGCACAGCCCCUGGAUUUAAUAGCUUAAUAAUAUUUACAAAGCUUAGUCACAGCCACUGGAUUUCAUCACCUCCAAGGAGUGCCUCAAUGGCUGCUGCUUUGCAGAGCUUCGGGAUGCAACUGAAAUUGCUGUUGCACCUGCAUGCAAAAUGUGCUCUGUGGGGUCCUCUAGUGUUGCAGCUGUGCAAAUAAAAGCUAGCUGCUACCUAGCAGCCAGCAGCACGCAUGUCAGCUCAAGCUUCCAGUGUCAAAGAGCAUCUUGCUACGGUCUGAGGAAUGGGGAUAUUUCCAUUAUCCCCUUGCAAACAGUGAAAUCCUGACGGUAUUUUCCACCUGGUGGAUGCUCUGCCUGCCUAUUAAAGGAAUAAAUUGGGUGUUUCAAUUAUCUUUGACAGGAUGUAAAAUGGGCUAGCUUUACAGUGUUAAAUAUUUAAACAGGACAUAAUUGGCUUUAAAUUUAUGGCAGCUCAUAGCAGAAACCCAUGAAAUGGCAGUAUGUAUUGAGCUCAUUUAUUAUCCUUUCGUGGGGUCCGUUUCCUUAGCAGGUAUGUAUUUAACACAAGAAAACAUCUGCAGGCAUAAGAGUUAAGAGGAAGGGCUGGCUGGGGAGAGAGAAUAGAAACACAUUUUCUUUCCCCUCUCGGUCACUUUGUCCAGUCUACCCAGUUCAGCGGCAGUCAGGGGUCCGACCCUGGUGACUGUGUUCCCAGGUUUGCCCUAACAGUAGUUUCUUGUGUAUGGAGUUUGGUGGUCUGGGCAGAAAACCACAUCACAGAACUCUUUGUGCCUCCCCUGCCCCGUACCAGGGAAAUCAAGGAUCAGAUGGGUCACAGGGGGUGACCUAAACCUGCAGGAUGAGGCAUACUGCUGGGUGUGGAAGUCUGACGGCCUCCUGCUGCCCGCUCACAUCCAGCUGGGACACCAUAUGUGCCAGUCUGUCCCUGCUGACUGCUCCUGAGCUCAGGGUAGGCACUGGUAUUCCUCUGUGGACACAAAUUCAUCUGCACUUCACGU